rnacentral:lncRNA from 1 species
CAACAAUAACUGCAACUAAACAAUGUAAUCGUAGCACAGAAACAGCAAGUCGAGUAUCGUAUCCACAGAGACUGUAAAACGAAAUUACUCUAUCUAUUUCCUAAACAGACACUCACAGUAGACAUGCAAAACAAAUAGGAAGGUGGUGAAACAAGGAACCAACACCUAGACUAAAGAGUAGUGAUCAUAAGCUAUACCUAGUGUGGUUGAACGGAAGAGACAAAGAACACAAUCGGAAUGCAGAAACUCAAGAGAAAACUACUGCUGUAUUGAGAAUUUUUAGAUAACGUAGUUACAAUGCACGCACUCAGGUCUUAUUUAUAGAUUACAUAGGAGGGCAAAAUAGUAAAAUCAGGUCCCGAACAUGCGCCUUGCGUGGUCGGGGGUACGCUGGUAAAUUCGUCUUUACGCGGGAUAUUUCUCCGCGCUUCCUUGAUUCCUCUGGCGAAAGUGGCCUCUCUGACGGAGAUGACUCCUCUGGCAAGGGUGGCUUCUCUAGCGAGCGAGACUCCUCUGGUGAAAAUGACCUUCUCUGGUGAGCAAGACUCCUCUGAUGAGGAUGAUUCCUCUGGCGAGUAUAACUCCUCUGGCGAGGAUGGUUCCUCUGGCGAGGAUUGUUCUUCUGGCGAGUGCGCUUCCUCUGGUGAGGAUGAUUCUUCCAGCGAAUACGAUUCUUUUGAUGAAAUCUACUUCACUGCUCCCCGUGACUCCACUGGUAAAGAGAUUCCUCUGCUCUACAUAUAUUACUCCUCAUCAGAAGGUGAAUCAAAAACUAAAGUUGACAAAAUAAAAUCUAAAUAGCAGAGAAAUAAUGAUAACUGAAUCAAAUAGAAAGAAAACUCUGACCCUAGGGAUGUACUUUUACUAAUUAACUACAUGCAUUUAAUAUAUUGAUUCAAUUACCAAUUUAAUCCAACCCUGAUGAGAGAUCACAGAACUAUUCACAAGUUUCUCUAACGAACACCUAUGAAAGUAGAUUAAUUUACCCCCUUUCACAUUCAAGAUUCCAAGGAAUAAAUUAACUCCCAAGCGUACACAAAGAAUAGCUCCCUAUAGUUUCACCUAUCCCAUUCAAGUGUUAAGGCUACUACUAUAACAUGCAUUCCUGAAUCGGCUGAACAAUUAUCGCAUUCAAGACUCAAACUGAACAGCUAGACAUGCAAAAUUAUUGGCCAAAUAAUUCACAAGAAAUUAAGCACCAGGAAUCAUGAAUCACAAGUUGGAGGGCAAAUUGAUAUCAAUAAAUCAUACACACAUAAUUAAUCAGCUAUGUACAAACCCUAGGUUCAGAUAAAAGAACUAGCCAAACAUACUAAAAUAAAUCAUAAACAUAAUUAAAAAGAACACAAUUGAAAGAACUGAAUUAAAUAAAACUCUGAAUAAAACAAUUGUAGCGGCUUGAAUCUUCAAUCUUGUGGAAAUCCAAUCCAAGCUGUAAAAACUGGAAAGCAAUAAUAAUCUAAAGCUAUGAAACUGAGAAAAUAAAGUUUAGGACUGAAAAAGGAACCCUAGAUAGGUCAAAAGAAGACCUAUUUAAAGUAUCAGGGUAAAAUACAGUGUUUGGAACCCAGAAGAACUCUAAAAAUCGGAAAAUCUCGCAAAACCGCCCAAUUCGGCGGUCAAACUCGGCGGUCGCCGUUUAGGUCGCCGAAUUUGUGCUGAAAAAUGACCAAAUUCGGCGCCCGCCGAAUUUAGAGCUCGCAGUGCAAAACUGAAACAGAAAUUUCGGCGACCAACUCGGCGGUCGCCGUUUAGGUCGCCGACGUUCUUCUUUAAAAUGCCCAUUUUCGGCGGUCGCCGUUUAGGUCGCCGAAUUUUGACUGCUGCGCGCGACGUUUUUGUUUCGGCUAUAACUUUCUCAUCCGAGCUCCGAUUUAUGAUCCGUUUGCGCUCACGAACUCGUAUCGAGACGAUGUACAACUUAUAUUUCAGAACAUUGUUCCAAAUUCGAACUCAAUAAAUCUGAAAAUUCAUUCAAAGUUCGAGUAAGAAUCAUGUUUCAGAAGAUAAAGCAAAUUAAGCACAAAGCAAUCAUCCAACACUCAAUUUCCUAUAAAAUUAACAUCAUAUGAACAUUAAAAACCAUAAAAAUAUGAGUGUUAUCAACUCCCCCAAACUUAAGCCAUUGUUCGUCCUCGAAUAAUGGGAAGAAUAAAAUCAAUAACACGAAUGGGUAAGAAAUCUAGCUCAUCGAUGCCUCCGAAAGAUAAAGAAUGAUAGAAUUCUCAAAUCCUCAACAAUUAAGCACAAAAUUCACCAAUAAACACAACCUAUAGCAAAAUCAACCUUGACGUUCCAAACAAUUGAAUCUCACAAGGUAUGUAUAUCACUCAACUCUCAAUUUGAUGGAACGGGACGUGUAUACUCUCAUCGAAUUCAAUGUAAUGCAGAUCUCUUACCAUAGGCUUGCCAAUCGUCUACAAUCUCCAUCGCUAAAAGUGUGCCAGGACUAAGAUCAGAAAGGUUUUUUUCUUUGGAUUAUAAUGUAAGGACAUUGGUUAAGGUAGGGAAAUAUAGGUUAAGGGCCUGUUUGAUUUUCAGUAUUGGAUUAAUCAGGAUAUAAAUUAUCCUGAUAAUUUAGUGUGGAUUAGUCAUGAUUUCUAAUCUCAGAUGGGUGUUUGAUAUCAUUAGUAAUUAAUCCCAAAAAGUGUUUGGUAUCCAUUGAAAUAGGUUGGAUUAACAUAUCAAAUACCUAAAUUAGUAGCCUAUGGAGGGGGUGGAAUAAUUAGUGUGGGUUAAUCCCAUGGUGGAGGUGGGAUAAUUAGUGUGGGUUAAUCCCACAAAAUAAGCUAGGGUCUUAGGAUAAACCUGGAGUUGACCAUAUUAGUAACACAUAAUAUCAAACACUACAUAAAUCCAUAUUAAUUUAAUUUAUCCUGCUUUUAAACCCAUAUCAAACAGGCCCUAAGUGACUCAAAUAGAUCAAGAACACCAACCUUAUAACUUCAAUUAUCAAGCAUGGAAUAAAUUCCAUCUUCCACCCAACUAUGUCACCAUAAACAACACAACUCAAGGGAUUUAAUCAUCACAAAACAGAACUAAACACUCUUUUAUGCUCUCCAUUUAUUUCCAACAAACAAAGUCGAUUCUCUAACAAAUUUCUCAAUAAACACUCGACUUCACAUUUUUUUUCUUUUCCUUUUUUUUUUUUGUAACAACUUUUUUUUUCACAACUUUUCUAGAGCUUAUAAGAGUGAAUAUUAGCACAAUAUCAUCCCUUCUUUUUCACAACCCACUAUGCAUAUUCACCACACAAAGAUCCCCAUAUACUUCAUCACCCCCCUAUCAUCCGGCUAAAGAAUAAAAGCUAAAUAGGCUCAAAGUGGAUAACAAAGGAUAAUUUUUUUCUUUAAGGACAGUGUUUGGGAUAAUAAAGUGACUAACAAAAGAUGGCCUAAAAUCAUCUCCUAAUCCUGGGCACAACAGCAACCUCAACACAGAAACCAUGACAAGUUCUAUUAAGUUAAUAAUACUGUUAUUAUACAAUAGUUUAAAUCAAAUACUAAUAUUUAAAUUAACAUAUUUUUUUUGUUACCAAGUAAUCUAACUCAUAAAUAAUGUCAUUUUCACAUUUUUACAUAAUUUGAAAUUUAAACAAUAAUAAAAUAUAUUGUGAUCCGUGCAUCGCACGAGGUGGCGUACUAAUGUUGUUUAUAAGUAAGUUUUUAGAAAUGUAUUAUAUGUGAUUUUUUUUUUCACAUUUAAUUAUAAUUUAGUGUGAUUUACUUACCCACAAUGUCUUAUUUUAUACUUAUUUAUUUAAAAUAUCAUUUAAGAAUAAUGCACGCCGUAGUGUCAUUUAUUGAUGAAUUUUCGUAGUGUCAUUCUAAUAACUGUUCAAUUUUGUAUAGUUUUUAUAAUCCAACAUUCUACCCAAUUUUACUAUAUAAGCCAAAAAUAUAUUAAUCUCGUUAAUAAAUAAAUAAAAAAGAGUGGAUUGUGCAAAUAUUCGCUUUCCUUUAAUAAAAUUAAAAUUAAGCCACUAAGAUAAAACUUAAAAAAUAACCACACUUACCAUUUACCCUUCAAACACUACCCUUUAAAAAAUUACGCAUUUCACAACCAAGUGGAAUUCACAACCAGAAUUUUUUAGUAUUGUGAAUUCACAAUCAGUCGAGUGAAUUCACAACCAGUUAAAUUCACAACCAUAAUUUAUUUUGGUUGUGAAUUCAAGUAGUUGUGAAUUUGAGUUUUAAAGUUUGAAUUCACAACUAAAAACAUUAGUGAAUUUACAACUAAUAAUAGAGUUGGUUGUGAAUUCGAUAUUAAAACUCGAAUUCACAACUAACACUAGCAAUUCUAGAAUUCACAACCAAAACAAUUAGUUGUGAAUUCAAGCUUUAAAACUCAAAUUCACAAUUAGGAUUUAUUUUGGUUAUGAAUUCAAGUAGUCGUGAAUUUGAAUUUUAAAGUUUGAAUUCACAACCAAAACAACUAGUUGUGAAUUCGAGCUUUAAAACUCAAAUUCACAACCAGGAUUAUUUGAUUAUGAAUAUUGGUGUGAAUUCAUGUAAUCGUAAAUUUGAAUUUUAAAGUUUGAAUUCACAACCAAAACAAGUAGUUGUGAAUUUGAGCUUUUGGUUGUGAAUUCAAGUAAUCGUAAAUUUGAAUUUUAAAGUUUGAAUUCACAAUCAAAACAACUAGUUGUGAAUUCAAAUUUUAAAAUUUGAAUUCAUAACAAGCAAUAGAGUUGGUUGUGAAUUCAAGAACAAUUAGUUAUGAAUUCAUAAAUCUGGUUGUGAAUUCAAAAAUAUUAAGUUGUGAAUUCGUAGAUGUGGUUGUGAAUUCAAGAACAUUAAGUUGUGAAUUCACAACCAUGAUUAUUUUGGUUGUGAAUUCAAGUAAUCGUGAAUUUAAAUUUUAAAGUUUGAAUUCACAAUCAAAACAACUAGUUGUGAAUUUGACGAGCUGGUUGUGAAUUCUAGUGUUAGUUGUGAAUUCGUAGAUGUGGUCGUGAAUCGUGAAUUUAAAUUUUAAAGUUUGAAUUCACAAUCAAAACAACUAGUUGUGAAUUUGACGAGCUGGUUGUGAAUUCUAGUGUUAGUUGUGAAUUUGUAGAUGUGGUCGUGAAUUCAAGAACAUUAAGUUGUGAAUUCAUAGAUUUGGUCGUGAAUUCAAGUUUUAAAUAAAUCCACAACUAUAAAUAGUGUUAGUUGUGAAUUCACAGCUAGAAAUAUUGUUGAUCGUGAAUUCGCGUGAAUUCACAACUAUAAAUAAUAUUAGUUGUGUAUUUAAAUUUUAAAUGAAUUUACAACUAAAAAUAUUAUUAGUCAUGAAUUCAAGCUCUAAAAUUUAAAUUCAAAAUCAACUCUAUUGCUGGUUGUGAAUUCAAAUUUUAAAAGUUUUUUUUUUUUUUAAGAUACUUCAUUAGUUUUACUUUACACAGAAAAUCCAAUUUAGUUUACACUAUCUUCCUACCAAAGAAAAACCAAAAUCUCAUAAUUGAGAUACAGUUUAAAUGGGUAAAUACAGACUGGAACAAAUUUAAGUAUCAGCACAAAUUUUAUCUUCUACCAUUUUUCAGCACAACUACAAGCUCAAUUGAGGGCUUUACUUCUUUCAAUUAUUACUCAAUCUAUUCUGAAAGAAAACAAAUAGGUACUCCACGUGUAAAAAAUUGUGCUUGACAUCUGAUCUGAAUCAGCAUGAAAGUCAACAAAUAUCAUUUACCCAUUCUAAUAGUCACCACUGAUAUGAUACAUAAUAAGUCAAGUGUAAAAAUCUUAUCUCUUACUAGCAAGAGAAGAAAAAACACUAGAAUACGAUGGCUGCUGCAAGUGAGGACUAAGAUCCAAGAGAUAAGUGUUGCUUUUCGAGACAUCAAAGGGUAGCAUGCCAAUAAAGCUUUAUUCUUAAUCCAAUAUUCUGUGACAUCCUCAUAGUUGCUCAUUCAGAGCCAAUUCCUUUUGAAGAGCUACACAAGAUUCGGACCAAUAUCAGACGCGCUCAUCUGCAGUGUUCAGCCGUUUCCAGAAGAAAGAAACCGCACAGAUAGUAGGGGAAGAAUCUUCCACAGAUUCAAUCUCUAAAAAGUUGAAAUUGUAUAUACCAGACUUCUUCAAACUAAAAAUGAAAACAAGAACUAUCCAGCCCAGUAGUUGUACAUGUGGUGCCCGGGGUCCUGUACAGGAGCAGCAGCCUCGACAGCAAGCACAACAAAGAGCAGCAGCACUUGCGAGAGAAACUGCCAAGGUGAGCCUUCACUGAUCUGGACCAGCUGAGCAGCAGAGAAAGAGUGGUAAGAGACACCUGUAUUGGUUUGUAUCCUUAUUUUUUUGUUUUGUUCAUUGUGUUUAAGCUCAUCUGGUGGUUUCUUGCCGCACUGCAUUGAAGGGUAAGAGCAGGGCAAUGUUAACAGUAGGCAGUAAGAAGACCAACACAUGAAUGAAGCAGCAGGGGCCACGAUGGUAAGUGCAUUGGAAGUAAGACUUCUGCAGGCUUGGUUGGCGACGUGCAUCAGGUGGCACUCGGCAACAAACACAUCAGAAGGGGGGGAGGGGGCAGUUGAGGCUAUGAAACGACACCAGUUUGCCUACAGCAAUAAAGUGCAACAGCAACACUCCAUUGCGCAAAAGUAGCAGCACUCCGAGGUCCGCGGCAGUAGGUAGCAGCAAGAACAACAACAUGAUGCAAGGGACAAGAGCUGUGGGGUGGUCCUGCCUUCUCAAGAGGGAUCAAUGUGCCCAGCCUGUAAGACCAAUGUUCAACAGAAAACACCAGAUCAAAGCAGACAAAGUCCAUAAAAUACAAUUUAGGGGAACGGCUCAACCACACUCAACACGAUGAGAAAAAUCAAUUUAAAUCACAAAUUUACAAAACCAAAAUCCAUACAACCAUUCAACCAUCUUCAUUCGAAACGACAAAUGUAAGAGGGGGAAAGGUAACAUAAGUUCGCAGAUCAAUCUAACAGAAAAUUAUGAGAACAAACCCCCACCAAACAAGCAAGGAGAGGGAAAAAAAAUGCGCUGCGACCAAUUUCAUCUAAUCCAAGGCCAAUGCAAAUACAUUACAAAAUCUAAAUAAACAAAAUCACAAAAUAACGCCGCAACCCUAGCCUCCCUCCGACGGAUCAUCGAGAAAGCGACGCAACGCAACAAAGCCUCACCUUAAUGGAUCGAUGCGAUCGAUAACAAACUUAAGAAAUGUAUCAUCUUCGGCGGGACGGAGGGAGUACUAAUUUGACUUUAAAAUUUAGAAAAUCAUAUAACUAAAUUGUAUUAUUUUUAGUGUCAAUAUAUUAAACUAUUCACUUUCAUAUAGCAAAAUUA